GACGAACGCUGGCGGCGUGCUUAACACAUGCAAGUCGAACGGAAAGGCCCUGCUUUUGUGGGGUGCUCGAGUGGCGAACGGGUGAGUAACACGUGAGUAACCUGCCCUUGACUUUGGGAUAACUUCAGGAAACUGGGGCUAAUACCGGAUAGGAGCUCCUGCUGCAUGGUGGGGGUUGGAAAGUUUCGACGGUUGGGGAUGGACUCGCGGCUUAUCAGCUUGUUGGUGGGGUAGUGGCUUACCAAGGCUUUGACGGGUAGCCGGCCUGAGAGGGUGGCCGGCCACAUUGGGACUGAGAUACGGCCCAGACUCCUACGGGAGGCAGCAGUGGGGAAUAUUGCACAAUGGGCGGAAGCCUGAUGCAGCAACGCCGCGUGCGGGAUGACGGCCUUCGGGUUGUAAACCGCUUUCGCCUGUGACGAAGCGUGAGUGACGGUAAUGGGUAAAGAAGCACCGGCUAACUACGUG
rnacentral:rRNA from 1 species